GAUAUAUUUGCCAAAUUUACCUUUAAAAUUGGAACGAUACAGAGAAGAUUAGCAUGGCCUCUGCGCAUGGAUCACACUUAAAUUCGUGAAGCGUUCCAUAUUUCU